AUGAACGCUGGCGGCGUGCCUAAUACAUGCAAGUCGAGCGAACAGACGAGGAGCUUGCUCCUCUGACGUUAGCGGCGGACGGGUGAGUAACACGUGGAUAACCUACCUAUAAGACUGGGAUAACUUCGGGAAACCGGAGCUAAUACCGGAUAAUAUAUUGAACCGCAUGGUUCAAUAGUGAAAGACGGUUUUGCUGUCACUUAUAGAUGGAUCCGCGCCGCAUUAGCUAGUUGGUAAGGUAACGGCUUACCAAGGCAACGAUGCGUAGCCGACCUGAGAGGGUGAUCGGCCACACUGGAACUGAGACACGGUCCAGACUCCUACGGGAGGCAGCAGGAGGGAAUCUUCCGCAAUGGGCGAAAGCUUGACGGAGCAACGCCGCGUGAGUGAUGAAGGUCUUCGGAUCGUAAAACUCUGUUAUUAGGGAAGAACAAAUGUGUAAGUAACUAUGCACGUCUUGACGGUACCUAAUCAGAAAGCCACGGCUAACUACGU
rnacentral:rRNA from 1 species